ACUCCUACGGGAGGCAGCAGUGGGGAAUAUUGCACAAUGGGCGCAAGCCUGAUGCAGCCAUGCCGCGUGUAUGAAGAAGGCCUUCGGGUUGUAAGUACUUUCAGCAGUGAGGAAGGUGGUGUCGUUAAUAGCGGCAUCAUUUGACGUUAGCUGCAGAAGAAGCACCGGCUAACUCCGUGCCAGCAGCCGCGGUAAUACGGAGGGUGCGAGCGUUAAUCGGAAUUACUGGGCGUAAAGCGCAUGCAGGUGGUUUGUUAAGUCAGAUGUGAAAGCCCGGGGCUCAACCUCGGAAUUGCAUUUGAAACUGGCAGACUAGAGUACUGUAGAGGGGGGUAGAAUUUCAGGUGUAGCGGUGAAAUGCGUAGAGAUCUGAAGGAAUACCGGUGGCGAAGGCGGCCCCCUGGACAGAUACUGACACUCAGAUGCGAAAGCGUGGGGAGC
rnacentral:rRNA from 1 species